rnacentral:rRNA from 1 species
GACGAACGCUGGCGGCGUGCUUAACACAUGCAAGUCGAACGAAGUGGCGAACGGGUGAGUAACGCGUAAUCAACCUGCCCUUCAGAGGGGGACAACAGUUGGAAACGACUGCUAAUACCGCAUACUGAAGGAGGGGAUUGCGUCUGAUUAGUUAGUUGGAGGGGUAACGGCCCACCAAGGCGAUGAUCAGUAGCCGGUCUGAGAGGAUUGACGGCCACAAUGGGACUGAGAAACGGCCCAGACUCCGACGGGAGGCAGCAGUGGGGAAUAUUGCGCAAUGGGGGCAACCCUGACGCAGCCAUGCCGCGUGAAUGAUGACGGCCUUCGGGUUGUAAAGCUCUGUUAAGCGGGACGCGGUACCGGAAUAGAAAGCCACGGCUAACUACGUGCCAGCAGCCGCGGUAAUUC